rnacentral:rRNA from 1 species
CCUGAUGCAGCCAUGCCGCGUGUGUGAGAAGGCCUUCGGGUUGUAAAGCACUUUCAGUCGUGAGGAAGGUGUGGUUAAUAGCUGCAUUAUUUGACGUUAGCGACAGAAGAAGCACCGGCUAACUCCGUGCCAGCAGCCGCGGUAAUACGGAGGGUGCGAGCGUUAAUCGGAAUUACCCGCGUAAAGCGCAUGCAGGUGGUUUGUUAAGUCAGAUGUGAAAGCCCGGGGCUCAACCUCGGAAUAGCAUUUGAAACUGGCAGACUAGAGUACUGUAGAGGGGGGUAGAAUUUCAGGUGUAGCGGUGAAAUGCGUAGAGAUCUGAAGGAAUACCGGUGGCGAAGGCGGCCCCCUGGACAGAUACUGACACUCAGAUGCGAAAGCGUGGGGAGCAAACAGGAUUAGAUACCCUGGUAGUCCACGCCGUAAACGAUGUCUACUUGGAGGUUGUGGCCUUGAGCCGUGGCUUUCGGAGCUAACGCGUUAAGUAGACCGCCUGGGGAGUACGGUCGCAAGAUUAAAACUCAAAUGAAUUGACGGGGGCCCGCACAAGCGGUGGAGCAUGUGGUUUAAUUCGAUGCAACGCGAAGAACCUUACCUACUCUUGACAUCCAGAGAACUUUCCAGAGAUGGAUUGGUGCCUUCGGGAACUCUGAGACAGGUGCUGCAUGGCUGUCGUCAGCUCGUGUUGUGAAAUGUUGGGUUAAGUCCCGCAACGAGCGCAACCCUUAUCCUUGUUUGCCAGCGAGUAAUGUCGGGAACUCCAGGAGACUG